AAACAGUAGGACUGGUCAUCCUUCCUGUCUGGCAUGAGGUUUGUACUGGGCUGGGCUUAGGGCAGAGAGUGUCCAGGGAGAUGAAAUAUUCUAUAUUCUGCAGAAAUCUGCAUCUCCUGCAUAGUAGUGACUAUAGCUUGUUUUAUGAUUGAGGAUACCCUGUCUCACAAGACUGCUUAAAUCCCUCAUUCCCCACAGCCUGGUUCUAUUGCAUCUUCCAGAUGCAGCACAGCACCAUGAAAUUCAGCCACUGCAUUUUACUUUGACCGCUCCAAAGCUCCUGUUUGAUUAUGUGCAAUGGCUUUAACUUAUCCUUGCUGUUCUCGCCCUCUCUCUUGAUGUAGUCAUGCUUGCGUCUGUUCAGAAGUGACUGUGUUCUGAAAAUGUUAUGCCUUUGGUAGCAGCUGUGUGUCAGGAGAGACAAUAAGCCGUCCAAAGGGCAGAACAGUGACUUAGCUACUGCCUGCUACAGCUUUCUCAUCCCACAUUUCUUUCUCUUUUCUCAGGCCUGCCGUGACAGAUGUCCCUUGUCUUCUCUCAAGGAGUAGGAUUAAGGCAGCCACUUUGCACUACGAGACCAGUUAUGCUGAAUGGUUUGUUCCAGGCUGCCUUCACUUGCGUCUUUGCAGGGAUAACUGGGAACAUGAAGCCUCCUUUGGUACAGGAACUUGUGGUCCCACACACCAAUUCACUUCCCAGGGCAGGAAACCUCUCUGCAGGCAGCCUAGGACUUCCAGUACUCAUUUCCAGUUAUAAGUAUAUGCAAAUGCCAGUGCAGAGCAGUGUCAUCUCAUGUGAACAUUGGUGUAUUCGAGGACUUGGAAAAGUGGAAACAGUUUGCUUGGAACUGAUACACUUUCUUUCAUUCUAUUUUUUUUAUUUUUUUAUUUUUCAUUUUUUAACUGACUUUACUGAUUUAAAUGAACUGAUUUUAAACUAAAUCAAAAUAGUCUGUCCUAGACUGAGAUGAAAAUAUUCCUCAAGACUGGUCAGUAAGUUGAUAUUAAAAGAAAAGAAAGCUUUCUAUCAGUCAAAGUGUUUCUCAGUUGAGGAAAAAAAAAAAUCACA
rnacentral:lncRNA from 1 species